GAAGUAAAAGUCGUAACAAGGUCUCCGUUGGUGAACCAGCGGAGGGAUCAUUACCGAGUUUACAACUCCCAAACCCCUGUGAACAUACCACUUGUUGCCUCGGCGGAUCAGCCCGCUCCCGGUAAAACGGGACGGCCCGCCAGAGGACCCCUAAACUCUGUUUCUAUAUGUAACUUCUGAGUAAAACCAUAAAUAAAUCAAAACUUUCAACAACGGAUCUCUUGGUUCUGGCAUCGAUGAAGAACGCAGCAAAAUGCGAUAAGUAAUGUGAAUUGCAGAAUUCAGUGAAUCAUCGAAUCUUUGAACGCACAUUGCGCCCGCCAGUAUUCUGGCGGGCAUGCCUGUUCGAGCGUCAUUUCAACCCUCAAGCACAGCUUGGUGUUGGGACUCGCGUUAAUUCGCGUUCCUCAAAUUGAUUGGCGGUCACGUCGAGCUUCCAUAGCGUAGUAGUAAAACCCUCGUUACUGGUAAUCGUCGCGGCCACGCCGUUAAACCCCAACUUCUGAAUGUUGACCUCGGAUCAGGUAGGAAUACCCGCUGAACUUAAGCAUAUCAU
rnacentral:rRNA from 1 species